ACCAUGUUUUCAAUGUAUUUUAAAGCUGCUUAAUUCAAACUGCCUCACUGCACAAAUUCAGUUGAAUUCAAACUUUUGCUUGUCCAUGUCUGGAAAUAUCUGUUGCCUUCGUUGCUUCUAGCUGAACAUUCACGUUUUUCUGCUACUAACAGGCGCAAAUAAAGCUGAUUGCCUGCCUACAAAACGGCCAAACUAGCCGAACCUUGCACACCAAUAAUCUCGUGCUGACCGAGGGAGAAAAACUGUACGGUAUGGCCUUGAUCUAUCGCAUGCCAAACGUUUCCUAAAGUCACUUUCUCUGCAGUAUGCCAUGCGAGAAAGUGUCCUAAGAAUUAGAAGGGGCUAGCUACUGUCGUGGGACGCAACACAUUUCGUCCCUUAAUUACACACCCGUGCAUGCCUUGUAUAACAAAUACCAGUAUUAUCGCUGAAUUCUAAAAAUAUUACUGGCAAUCAUGCAGAGCAGUCUAUGAUGUUGCUGCGGCACUGAGAAACAAUACACAUCACAGUGUUAGUUGGUCUGUUGCCCUGAGUCAUACUUAUGAGAACUUCUGAUAAUUCAAACUUGAUAAUUCAAAUGAAAUCCUGAGGUCCCCUCAAGAUUGAAUUAUCGAGAGUCUACUGUAUUAUAAUGUUGGAGCCUGUGCACUGAGGAAAAAAAGGAACUUGUGAGUGGGCUAGCGUGGAUAUUCAAUUAGUUGUGGUCUAUUGUUAAAAAUAAAGCCUCUAUGAGAACACGAUGUGCAAGUGAACUAUUUUGGAGUGCAUCUUGCUUGUUCUGAUAAAAAUUCAUUAAAAAAUUUUCAGAGGUGUUCAAGGAGAAAGACACAAGAAAUAUUGGAAGUGCAGUGUUCACAAUUGAUGAGUGGCUGGAGAACACGAUGUAUGCGUAGAAUGCCGGAUGCAACUGACACGUGACUAUCCUUGAUACGUCUUCUUGGGGAAUCCCAGCCAACAAACUGCCAACUCCGGUCACUUCCAACAUCUCUUUCGGGUCUUUGCCACAACACAUGCAGACUUCCUGCUUAAUGCAAAGCUUUGGAAACGCGCGCACUCUGCCAUGCAUAGUUUCUGCAAAGUGUCCGCCGCUGCUUGCAUUGUGUACCGAAAGUAACAAUUGUACAGCGGCUUUAUUUGCGGGGGCAGAUUUUUAUAGCUGUACGUGAACGCUGCUAGGUGCUGCUUUGGACAACUCACAACUAGUCAUCGUCUUGCUGAGACAUCCAUUACAGGCCAAGCUGAAAGCUUUGCAUUCUUGCUAUGUGCCUGUCUUUACCCACACCUAAUGUGUCGAUUGUGGCGUCUGUGUUUUCCGAUCGGGAUGCACCUGGAACAUUGUGCUCUGCUUUUUUUGCGAGAUCUAAGACAUUUAAUUGUCCCCUUAGUAUUAUGCGGUUCAACUUCGUCAUAAUAAACCUCUUUUAAACGAAAUAAUGCAAGUUGCACAUGCUGAUAAUUCCAUCUCAGCAUCUAGCACACGAUAAAACACAAGGACAAAGUGAAAUACGACGAAAUGUGGCAUACAGUAAUGGCCGUCUUUGUCAUAUUUCACUCUGUCCUUGUGCUGUGCGAUGCACUAAAUGCUGGAAUUUAUUAACGAAAUUCGCAAUACAGCAUAUUUGCUUCCAUUUGUCCAGCCUUUCAUCAUUGCCAGGUUUCUCUUGGGGUUUUUUAUUCAUGAAUUCGUAAAGCUUUGGCCGCAAGAAACUGUUCACGGAACUUUGACAUUGUUUAACUUUUUGAAUAGCAGAAACCUUGCCGUAAUGAAAUUUCUUGUUUUACAAGGUUCUUGGUACGAAGUACGACCACAUUAUACUGAGGUACAGCUGCACUUUGCUUAAUAAGUUAUGUCUUUCUAUCAAUAUUUUUUUAAUACACGGCAUUCAGCGAGUUUGCCGCCUUUUUUUUUCUCGUGAUACGAAGGCAGGGAUUGCAACACAUUUCACAGUGCGAUUGGGAAAUUUUUCCAUCGACUCUUAUUAAGGAAAAUCCUCAUUUUGACCAUUUGUCUUCUCGCAAUACAUCCAUGUUGGUUUGCACAAAUUUCGAUGGAUAUGUUUAAGUGUCUUGUCGCAUCAUAUUUAUAAAAUACAGAUGUAUAUGAGGUACAGACGUAUUUUUAUGUGGAUGAUGCUCUUUUUUCAUCCUUUUAUAAGUCUUUAAAUGGAUAUGCAAUGCAAGAUUAUCUGUCAUCCUUGUUGCUUGAAGUGAAUUCAGAGCAGGGAAGCUGGCCAAAGCGGUGAUAUGCACAGCACUGUGUGUUGUCUAAAACACAAUCAUUUAUUAUGAUGCAUUAAAAACCUAGUAAAGGGUGCUAGCAGUGUUUACAGUGUACUGUUAAAUGUUUAUGGCUAGCACCCAUCUUAUUCAUGCCUUAAGAUUGAGAAGUUAGAUUUUCGAGACAGUCUAAUUGGGUGCACUGAAUUUUUUUUCACUUUUUAAUGCCUGUAUCUUUUUUUUUUUAUUAUUAUUAGCCUGCCUGUCCCUUCUUUUCUGGUGUAUUGUUGUGCCUUUUGUGGCAGCCAUUUCAAGUUGAAAUUUUCUAGGGAUUUGUUUGUUGAUUGUUGUGUGCUUUUGGUUCUAACGUGAUUGAGCGGCGCUUUAUUGUUGGCCAUUGUAAUAAAGAAUCAGAUCAGGAGAUACCUCCUCUA